AAUUGAUAAAGGCAAACCUGUUGAAAAGCAGGGACGCAAAAUCAAGGGUCUAAAGCCGCAAGGCUAUGACAGCCGGUUGCCAAA
rnacentral:ncRNA from 2 species